GUGGGUGUGUGUGGUUGUGUGUGUGUGUGUGUGUGUGUGUGUGGUCAGCGUGGAUUUCCCCUCUGUGGUUUUGGGCAAACUCGGUUGCUCAGAAACCCAUGUGACAGUUCUUGGACUUUGGUCACUGGUAGCGGAGCGGUAGACGAAAACAGGAUUUCUAGUCCACAGGCAAGUCAUGGUUUCUUUUAUUUCCUGUGUAGGUUGCAUGGAAGAACAGAUGCAAUCCUCUAAACUCCAUUAAACUUAUUAUUAUUUCCACAUCAUAUUUGAGGAAUAGCUCAUGCGUAACAAAGUAUUUUAGUCUGAGUGAUGACAAGCUUAUAAAAUCAGGAACCAGACUUUGUUUUUUGUGAAGGGCUCAUGAAGUCACCUCCAUACAAUUGGAAUAGAGUGGUGAGACUGUGACACCCCCCCCCCGACUGAUCUCUGGCAUUUUCACCAGCCCACUCUGUGACUGUCCCUGGCACAGCCGGGCCCUGCAGAAGACGGAGGCCCUAAAUGUCACAGCGCCAUCUUCUCCACAGAGAAUCGCAUAUAUUAUUGAUGAUGCUCCAUGAAGCUCUGCUGGCACAGAAGUUCAAACAGCAGUCAGAUGGAAGCAGCCACAUUUAUUACAGUCUGAGGUGUUUGCACGGAGCAUGUGAACGCGGGGAAAUCUGUUCUACUCACUCACUGUCCCGCGUUCAAAAGACUUGGAAAAUAACACGGAUUACAGAUGUUUUUUUACGUCUCUUACUUUAUAAACACUCAGAUGUGGUGAAUGAGGACUGGACAAUAAAGAGUUCCUUCAGAGGCUCUGCGCAUGUGGGCAGAGGCGGCAGAAACCAACUCCGCCGGACUGGAGAGCACGCUGUUUAUUUCAGUCAGCCUCGUGGCAACGCAUACAAAAUCAAUACAGAAGUCCGAAAAAUCCAUGAGGGGUAAAAUGCUUCCAAUACGUUUCCAUCUGGCCGUCGUUUUUGCCCGGCUGCUUGAUGCCAUGAAUAUAAAUCCUACAGUGAUCCAAAAGCCAUCAGUCACCGGCAGAGAGGCUGGAUCAGGCAGCUACUCAUUAAUACAGUGUUCUUCAUUAACAGUGCAGCCACCUCCUCCGUUACAGCUUGAAGCAACUAUCUUCACGGAUGACAUCAUCUGGGCUCUUAAGUAACUUUGGGACUUUGUGAAUAACAAUUUCUUUCCCCAGUGUGAAGGAGCUGCGACUGAAGAGAGAGAUUUAGUGGCUUGUUUCUUUCCAAUGCUCAGAAACUGGAUGUGUUGUUAUAGUAGGAAUGUUGCGAGCUAUUAUAUGCAUUAAUAUUGUCGAGCGAAUACAUGUUACACAAUGAGCCUGUUGGUUAGGAGACACUGGCAAAUAAGAUCACAUGCAAGCUAAUAAAAGAUUUAACA